AUCUAAAUGUGGUUGCAUGCUACCUGAACAUGAAGGUCAAUGGAGACGUCUAAUAAAUAGAUGUUAAUCUUGUUCAAGAUAAACCAUUGUAUCGAAGAAGAAUGGCUUACAUAGAGGCUGGUGAUUUUGAUGAAGAAAGAGCCGAUUUCAGCAAGGAAAGCUGGUGACUAGGGCAGGGGUGAAACAUUUGCGUGCAAUGGGUGAAACUAAUGUGCUGGUAAAUAGAAAUAUAGAGUCAAAUUCUUAAAAAAGGACACUACUCUAGCCACAACAGUUAUUUAUAAAUCCAUGUUUGCAACAGAAGAUGGCACCAUCCCUGCAAUUUUCCAG